ACGGAUCUUCUUUUUCAGCCAAAAAUGCCCUCCAGAAUCCUACUUCAAGUCCAAAUAUGAAAGUUACAAUUGGAAUUCAAAAUCCCGUUUAGAUCUCAGUCUUUUUUAGAAGAAAAAUCAUAAAAGAAAUAAAAAAAUAUAGAAAACUGAAAACUCAAAAAAAACUUUACUGUUCCAUUAAAAUUGGAAGUUGAUUUCAAUUUCUGGUUACUGAUUAACCUUCUGCAAUUGUUACUUCUGUCGAUUGAAGGUACAGAAUCAUUUCGAGAUGAAAUUAGUGUUCUAAAUCAGGUUUGAGUGUUUUUUUCUGGUUGUCUCUGCAUUGACAUUCAUUUUUAGGUCGUUAGCUGCUGUGUGGAGUUCAUUUGCUGGUUUUCCUUUUGAUUUGAAUCACUCCUGAACUGCUGGUCGUUGCUGUUGAAUCUGCUGCUAUGUUGAAUAGGUGUUUUACAUGAAGCUGACCUCUUUUUCUUCUUCUUUUAAACGUUGAAUACCAGGUACACAUUUUGAAUCACCUCGAUGUAACUUGAAUUGAUGUUGAAUUGGAAGUUUUCACCAGACCUGCAUUUGGGUGUUAUCUGUUGUCUCUGAUUCACUAAAUGUUAAAUGAAGUAGAAGUAGUUGAUAUUAGCUCUGUUUUGUAUUUUAUUGAAUAAUAUAAAUGUGAUUGUGUAAUUGGAACUACCUUAGGCUGCUUUGGACUGUGUCAAUUAUUGUUGGUAACAGACUGUUAUAUCAUCCAGGAAACAUAUGUUCAGUAGCUAGUCGAACCACUAAUUGUCAUUAGCUAUAAUUAGUUUAGUGUGUUUGUUCAGUUUAAACUUUUAAAGUUAGAAAAUAACUCUAGUUAGCAUUCUCCUUUUGAAGCUAUGAAAUUGUGCUUGCAUCAAUGGUUGUUGACUGAAUUUGUAAUAACAUGCACGUAAAUGUCGAGCUAGGACAUUUUUGUAUGGGACUAGUUAACAAAUAUCUAAUGAACAGUUAAUUGAUUCAUGCUUUCCUAGUCGAAUUCAAAACUUGUGGGUGUUUAGGUCGUUGAUUAACGUUGGAAUUGAUAAAUCAUAGUUGAUAUUGCUAAUUGUUGGUGGGAAGCAUUACUGAAAUCAAGCACGAUUAGUUUGUCUUUUUUCACGUAAAAAGUUGAACAUAGUUAUUCUGCCCAGCUAAUGUAAAUUGCAUUUUUUUAGUUUGAAACUCUGUGAUUUCAAUUGUCCUUGUCAAUUAGUAGAUAAUAGUUAGCAUCCAAUUAAAUCGUGGGUCUGUUAGCUUCAAGGGAUCGAUCAUUUGAUCUCCCUAGGCAGCCUAUUUUGCUUUGUCUUUUCGGGCUUCCUCAAGGCCCACUCGCUGCAAUUAAUUCACAUACAGAACCAUUUGGUUCAUAAGUUGGGACUGUUUCAGAGAUUUCAAUUCAAGAUUUAGUAUAAUGUAAGUUUGGGCUUUGAGUUAGGUAGAGGGUUCAAAUUAAGGGGCUCCCUUCUUGUUUGAAUCCGGACUUAAGCUCGAGGCCCGAAGCUUAUAAUAUUGAUCGACUAGGAUUUUUUCAUUGUUAGAGAAAAAAUAGAAAAUCAUAGUUUCUUUUAGGCUUUCCCAUUUAAAAUAAAGUGAUACGAGCCUCGUGCAAUAAAAUAUAAUAUUGUGGGGCCCUCAGUAAAGUAAAAAAUACUUAGAAAUUCGGGACGAGCUGUUUAGCGAAUUUCACGGCGAUCCCAAAAAAUAACAAUGCGUUAGUCUUUUUGCGUUAGUCUUUUUAGAUACGAUUUUAAUAAAAUUACAUUCCUAAACUUGGGUGUUCAUUUCAUGCGACCCAAAUCAAAUCCCAAAACUUUGAAUAGAGUUGCUUAGGAUUGCGGGUUCAUUUCAUGUGACGUGAUCCGAAGGCACUCUUCAAACAAUGUUCAACUUUCUUUUGAGAAAUACAUAUUGAAUAAAGGCGGAUAAAAAUAAAAAUUGGCACAUAGGUUCUUCAUAUAAUAAAAUCAGAUAAAUAAGCUACAACAGUUCAGAGGACGUGCUAGAAUCACGGAACUCGGGAAUGCCUAACACCUUCUCCUGGGUUAACAGAAUUCCUUACUCGAAUUUCUGAUUUGCGGACUGUCAAACACGGUCAUAUUUUCCCCAGUUCGAGAUUCAACUGGUGACUUGGGACACCAUUAAUCUCCCAAGUGGCGACUCUAAAAUAUUAAUAACUAAAUUCCAUUCCGAUUAUUCUUUAAUUAAAAAACCUUCUUAAUGCCCUUGCGGGUGUAGUGAAAAAGGAGGUGUGACAGCUUUGGCGACUUUGUUGGG
rnacentral:lncRNA from 1 species